UCUCUCUCUCUCUCUCUCUCUCUCUCUCUCUCUUUUAAUAUUAACAGGAGACCACCAUGGACAGCAUCAGCUAUCCAUGUUAUUUACCUCAGUUUAGCCAGUUAUUUACCUCAGGACAGAAUGGAAGUGGGAGAUAAAGACAGAGGUGUAGGGAGGAGAGGGAGAGGAGCACCUCCGUGACCUCUUCACCCAGUUACAUCAAGUUCCAGAACCUUCCAGGACAGUGCCAGCAGCUGCAUGCCAAGUGUUUAAUACAUAAGCCUUUUGGGAACAUACUUCGUAUCUAAAUCACAGUGAGCUAUGUGCUGGCAUACAGUGCUCAUACCCUCAUCUGAGCCUACUCCCCCGUAACCCUGCGAAUCUAAGGUCUUCCUGUUAGGCCAGUGAGGCAGCUCAGUAAUUAAUGGUGCCUGAUGCCAAGGCUGACACCUUGAGUUUGAUCCCCAGAGUACACAUGAUGGAGGGAGAGACCUGACUUUCAAGGUGGUUCUCUAACUUCUGCAUGCACAUCCCCUCCUGUCCUGCCCGACAAGUAAAUAAAGUGUGACGUAACUCAUUAGUAAGAAAAUCAAGUCCCACUCCUCAAAAUCUUUUUUUUUCUAGAGAUUUUAUUUAUUUAUUUAUUUACUUUUAAAGAUUUAUUUAAUAUAUAUGAAUACACUGUAGCUGUCUUCAGACACCCCAGAAGAGGGUAUCCGAUUUCAUUACAGAUGGUUGUGAGUCACCAUGUGGUUGCUGGGAAUUGAACUUAGGACCUCUGGAAGAGCAGUCAGUGCUCUUAGCUGCUAGGCCAUCUCUCCAAUUCUUUGAAAGUGGAUUCCCCCCCAUGAGUGGUUAGCACCAUUUUUCUGUAUGCAGAAUCGUGGCACGGGGACUUAAGCUGCUUCUAAACUACAAGUCGUCUUAGCUUGGCCGUUAUCCCAAUCGGUACGGCCACACCCAGGGAUUCCAUCUGUCACCAAGCUCCUGAGUAUCUUGGUGUACUUGAUGCUUGUUGGAAUUGGGUUUUCUCUGGUCAGCUGAAUCAUUGGCCACCCAUCUACUAACUUCACAAUUUGCAAAUCUAGGUUACUGUUUUCAUCAUCAUUUUAAUUUUUCUUUAUGAAUCUAUACCAUUACACAAAAUGUAUUAUUUUCAUCUUGUGGGGGAAUUCAGGAGAGGAUGGAAUUAAAAUGUGUGUCCAGCUAAUACUGAUUUACUUGGACAUCUACAUUUUAUUGACAGAAAAAACAUGCUGUCAAAUUGUUUUAUUAAGGCAGUUCCCUCCAUCCUGGACUGACUGACUUAGAAAACCUCCAUCAAUAAAAGACAUUGUCUUUGUCAUAAUGCUUGCAGUUUGAACAGACAGCAUUGAAUAAUUAUGGAAAUAAACUUUGAUGGGCUCUGAGAAGGAAAAAAAGUCUGAUGGGAAACAUGAAUAUUUACAGUAUAGAUUCUACUAGAAUCUUCCAAAGGGCCAUCCUCACUAUUGGAGAAACUUUUUAGUGUAACGACCACAGCACUCAGGAUACCAGCUGUGAACAGUGGUGCCAUUAACCACCAAGAGGGAGCACAGUCUAGUGACAAAAAGAUAGAAAUAAAGGGAGUUGGAGUCACAUUUCAGAGUUCUUUGGCAAGAUAAAGCUGUUGGCACUAAAUCAAUACACUCAUCAUGACUGUGUCAUCAACUGGACAACGUGCUAGGAGACGGUUAAUUGCUUUAUUCUUUUCUUUUUUGAAUGUGUUUGCGUGUGUGUAUGUGUGUGUGCAUGUGUGUGAAUGUGUGUAUGUGUGUGUGUGUGUGCAUUUUGUGUGUGAAUUGUGGGCCACAGAGGAGCAGUGGAGGUCAGAUGACAACCUCCGGUUGGUCCUCACCUUCUACUGUAUUUGAAACAGGACGUCUUGUUUGGUGGUACCACUGUAUAUACACAUCACACUAACUGCUCAUGACCUUCUGGAGCAUCCUACCUUGGCUUCCUGUCUCACCUCGGCUGCACUGUCGUCACAGAAUAUACACUACCGUGUCCCCAGCUUUCCAUGGCUUCAGCUCUUAAUGACACGUGUUUUUGCUCACCGAACCCUCUCCCCAGCGUUUAGCGCUUAUUCUUGUAUGAACAAACUUGUAUCUAACACCUACUGCAUGCACAGACUACAGAUGCUAGCUGUUAAGAGUUAUGCAAUGACAUCCCUCAUAGAAACCAUGCAUGUCCUUGUUUGGUUUUUCUGCCCUUAACCUCUUGAAGUUGUGGAUUUGAAACCACAGAUGAGAUGGAUGAGCUGGUGAGAUGGCUCAGCAGGCACAUGUGCUUGUCGUCAAGCCUGAGAUAGAGUCCCUAAAAUCUGUGUGGAGGAAGAAGGCGUGGAACUUCUAACAGCUGUCUUCUGACACCCACAUGUGUACUGUAGAAUGCCCUGCCCACCCCCAUAAACAAAUAAAUGUU
rnacentral:lncRNA from 1 species